UUCCCUGCUUUGUCCAUAUAGUGUUAUUGUUCGUCCCUCUGAAGGCAGCCUGUCUAUGUAAUACGAGAUGCUUUGUCCGGUAGGGCGAAUAUAUAAAGACGUGAGGAAGUCAUCAGAGAAACGCAAACUGUUCUGAAGUAUUCACGUGACAAAAUCCUUCCUUCAGUGGCAUUCUCAACCAACUUUCCUAAGGUUUGUGGCCAUUUGUUCACAAAUGUCAUUCUUCCAUUUUGAUUCUAAGGAGAUUACUUUACUCAUCCUCAUUUGGAAGAAAUAAACAGAUGAGUGAGUUUGAGGAAUUAAAUUUCUCAUAGCUGACAGGAUUCACCUACAAAUAAUGUGAAGCAAGGACAACUCUUUUGAGGGAAAUGGGUACAUUCACCCACUGGCAUUGAGGACGUGAACAAAACGAAAAGAAAAGAAAACAAAAUGGAUACCAGUACCCCAAACACACUAUCUGGCCCAGCCUACGUCACUGGAAGAACCACAGCUUCAUCUGGAGAACCUCCAGAAAACCAAUCAGAAUUUGAGAACGACAUGACUUUGUCAGACAACUCCCUGGUCUACCAAGUGCUUCUGCCUGCCUCUUGUGCUGUCUUCAUCAUAGUCGUCGUUCUGGUCAUCGCCUGUUGUCUGAUCAAGAAGAAGAAAAA